rnacentral:rRNA from 1 species
UUCCGGUUGAUCCUGCCGGACCCCACUGCUAUCGAAGUGGGACUUAGCCAUGCUAGUCGAACGAACAGAACUAUGUCUGUAAGUGGCAUACUGCUCAGUAACACGUAGCUAACCUACCCUUAGGACGUCGAUAACCCCGAGAAAUUGGGGCUAAUAGGCGAUAGAUGUAUUGUCCUGGAAUGGUAAUACGUCCAAAGGUAUCCCAUACAUGUUUGGUAUACGCCUAAGGAUGGGGCUGCGGCCGAUCAGGCUGUUGGUGAGGUAAUGGCUCACCAAACCUUUGACCGGUAUGGGCCAUGAGAGUGGUAGCCCAGAGAUGGACACUGAGACAAGGGUCCAGGCCCUACGGGGCGCAGCAGGCGCGAAACCUCCUCAAUGCACUAACGUGCGAAGGGGUUACCUCGAGUGCCACCUGAAGAAGGUGGCUUUUCCUUGGUCUAAAAAGCCUCGGGAAUAAGAGGGGGGCAAGACUGGUGUCAGCCGCCGCGGUAACACCAGCCCCUCGAGUGGUGGGGAUGAUUAUUUGGCCUAAAGCGUCCGUAGCCGGCCGGGUAAGUUUCCCGUUAAAUCCAGCGUCUCAAGCGUUGGACUGCGGGAAAUACUGCCUGGCUAGAGAGUGGGAGAGGUCAGCGGUAUUCUGGGGGUAGGGGCGAAAUCCUUUGAUCCCCGGAGGACCACCAGUGGCGAAGGCUGCUGACCAGAACACGUCUGACGGUCAGGGACGAAAGCUGGGGUAGCGAACCGGAUUAGAUACCCGGGUAGUCCCAGCCGUAAACGAUGCAUGCUAGGUGUUGGG